UACGGAGGGUGCAAGCGUUAUCCGGAUUCACUGGGCUUAAAGGGCGCGUAGGCGGGUUGGUAAGUCCGUGGUGAAAUCCCCAAGCUUAACUUGGGAACUGCCGUGGAUACUAUCAAUCUUGAAUAUCGUGGAGGUAAGCGGAAUAUGUCAUGUAGCGGUGAAAUGCUUAGAUAUGACAUAGAACACCAAUGGCGUAGGCAGCUUACUACACGAUCAUUGACGCUGAGGCACGAAAGCGUGGGGAGCAAACAGG
rnacentral:rRNA from 1 species